rnacentral:rRNA from 1 species
UUGGAGGGCAAGUCUGGUGCCAGCAGCCGCGGUAAUUCCAGCUCCAAUAGCGUAUAUUAAAGUUGUUGCAGUUAAAAAACUCGUAGUUGAAUUUCGGGAUCAAUUAAUUGGUCGUGCCUCUGGUACGUACUGAUUUUAUUGGUCUCUCCCUUCUGACGAACCAUGAUGUCAUUAAUUUGGUGUCGUGGAGAAUCAGGACUGUUACCUUGAAAAAAUUAGAGUGUUUAAAGCAAGCUAACGCUUGAAUACAUUAGCAUGGAAUAAUGAAAUAGGACGUUUGACCCUAUUUUGUUGGUUUCUGGGAUCGACGUAAUGAUUAAUAGGGAUAGUUGGGGGCAUUAGUAUUCAAUUGUCAGGGGUGAAAUUCUUGGAUUUAUUGAAGACUAACUACUGCGAAAGCAUUUGCCAAGGAUGUUUUCAUUAAUCAAGAACGAAAGUUAGGGGAUCGAAGACGAUCAGAUACCGUCGUAGUCUUAACCAUAAACUAUGCCGACUAGGGAUCGGAUGAUGUUAAUUUUUUAAUGACUCAUUCGGCGCCUUACGGGAAACCAAAGUGUUUGGGUUC